rnacentral:hammerhead_ribozyme from 1 species
AUCCAGAUGACGGGUGCCAAAUAGGACGAAAUGCGCAUCCUGGAU